UUUAGUUUUGCAUUCGUUUUGCUUAAUCCGUUAACAGAAAUUAUGACAUUUCGUUUAAUAUGUCCCAUCAAAAAUUAAAGAUACCCCGAUUUACGGUAUUCAAGUUUAUUGCAGUGAGAAUUUAUCACGCAAUGCACAGUGAAACAAAAUACCUAUAAAUGGAUUGAUGCGAAUAUCAGGAACGCAGAUAUCUUGAAGAUUUGCCAAAUGUGUAGAUAAGAAUUGCUAUCGGGAACGCCACGGAAACUUGAAAUCUCGAUUUGACAUUACUGGAAGAUUGAAUCUUUGACGCUAUUUUUUUUAAGCCACAGGUUUAAGCCAAUUUCUUCGAAAUAGUUCAGUAAUUUAGAAGAAUACUUUGAUCUAUUCUUCAUGUUU